CCUACGGGUGGCAGCAGUGGGGAAUAUUUGGCAAUGGGCGCAAGCCUGACCCAGCAACGCCGCGUGAAGGAAGAAGGCUCUCGGGUUGUAAACUUCCUUUGAUAGGGAAGAGUAGAAGACGGUACGUGUCGCAUAAGCCACGGCUAACUACGUGCCAGCAGCCGCGGUAAUACGUAGGUGGCAAGCGUUGUCCGGAUUUACUGGGUGUAAAGGGCGUGUAGCCGGGUUGACAAGUCAGAUGUGAAAUCCUGGGGCUUAACCGCAGAACUGCAUAUGAAACUGUUGAUCUUGAGUACUGGAGAGGCAGACGGAAUUCCUGGUGUAGCAGUGAAAUGCGUAGAUAUUAGGAGGAACACCAGUGGCGAAGGCGGUCUGCUGGACAGCAACUGACGGUGAGGCGCGAAAGCGUGGGGAGCGAACGGGAUUAGAUACCCCAGUAGUC
rnacentral:rRNA from 1 species